rnacentral:rRNA from 1 species
CGGACGGGUGAGUAAUGUCUGGGAAACUGCCCGAUGGAGGGGGAUAACUACUGGAACGGUAGCUAAUACCGCAUAACGUCGCAAGACCAAAGAGGGGGACCUUCGGGCCUCUUGCCAUCGGAUGUGCCCAGAUGGGAUUAGCUAGUAGGUGGGGUAACGGCUCACCUAGGCGACGAUCCCUAGCUGGUCUGAGAGGAUGACCAGCCACACUGGAACUGAGACACGGUCCAG